rnacentral:rRNA from 1 species
CCCUUAGAUGUUCUGGGCCGCACGCGCGCUACACUGAUGCAUUCAACGAGUCUAAAACCUGGUCUGAUAGGGCUGGGUAAUCUUUUGAAAGUGCAUCGUGAUUGGGGUAGAUGAUUGCAAUUCUUCAUCUUCAACGAGGAAUGCCUAGUAAACGCAAGUCAUCAGCUUGCAUUGAUUACGUCCCUGCCCUUUGUACACACCGCCCGUCGCUCCUACCGAUUGAAUGAUCCGAUGAAUACCAUGGAUUGAGAGUACGAAUGGGUUCGCUAAUUUCUGCUGCUCGAGAAGUGGAGUAAAUCUUAUCAUUUAGAGGAAGGAGAAGUCGUAACA